rnacentral:rRNA from 1 species
AUCGAUGAAGAACGCAGCGAAAUGCGAUAAGUAAUGUGAAUUGCAGAAUUCAGCGAAUCAUCGAAUUUUUGAACGCACAUUGCGCCUCAGAGUAUUCUUUGAGGCAUACCUGUUCGAGCGUCGUUUAGACCAUAAGGCUUUGCCUUGCGUUGAUUAUUGGAGCUAUCCAGUAUUCUAAACUUGUUGGCGUCGUAGUUUGACCAAGACACAGCACAAUGUGACACUGAUUCAAUACUAAGACUGCUUAUCACAACACUGUCUUUCUUCGGAAAGACGUAGGUUCGACCUCGGAUCAGGUAAGACUACCCACUGAACUUAAGCAUAUCAAUAAGUGGAGGAAAAGAAACCAACAGGGAUUACCUCAGUAACGGCGAGUGAAGCGGUAAAAGCUCAAAUUUGAAAUCUGGUCCUAGACCCGAGUUGUAAUUUGUAGAGGAAUGUUCGGCGACGCCUAGGUCUGAGUCUUCUGGAAGGAAGCGCCUUUGAGGGUGAGAGCCCCGUAGGACUGAUGGCUGAACCAUGUGUACAUCCUUCGACGAGUCGAGUUGUUUGGGAAUGCAGCUCAAAACGGGUGGUAAAUUCCAUCUAAAGCUAAAUAUUGGCCAGAGACCGAUAGCACACAAGUAGAGUGAUCGAAAGAUGAAAAGCACUUUGGAAAGAGAGUGAAACAGUACGUGAAAUUGUUGAAAGGGAAGCGCUAGCGACCAGAUUUGGAAAUGACGUUCAGCGGUUCGCGUGGACCGUGUACUUCGUCUUUUACUUGCCAGCAUCGGUUUUCGGGGUUGGAUAAAAGCUUUGGGAACGUAGCUCUGCUUCGGUCGAGUGUUAUAGCCCUUUGCACAAUACAGCCACUGAAGACCGAGGAACGCCUUUUUGUAGGAUGCUGGCGUAAUGGUUGCUAGCGGCCCGUCUUGAAACACGG